CCCCAAAUCUGAUUCAUAUUUUCGAAAUCACUUAAUUCGUGAUGAAUCAACUUUAAAUCGUGAUUUCAUCCCUAAGCUCUCAAUCUCUUUUAAUUCGUGUUUCUUACGGCCUCUUCAGAUGUUGGUCCUGUCAACCCCCCCUUUCUUCCUGUUUCAUCUUCUCCAAUUUGUUUACGAGCAGUUCGUGAUUCGGUUUCUCGCGGCCUCAUCGACUCAGGUAAAUUCAUCUCUGAUGCAAAUUAUACACGUAAUUUUGUGAGAGAAAUCAGAUCUGGCCUAAACCCCAAUCUGUCGACGCUGACGAUGGCCAAUUUCAGACUCAGAACGAUGCUCCACCAAUAAGAUCGUGAGAUCGCAGUGCAGAACGGAGGAGGUUGAAUCUGGAAAGUUCAUAAGGAAAUAUGAGAAAACCGUAGAGCUUAUCCGCAACUGCGUCGGAAGGGUUUACCAUACCAAUUAGUGUUACCCUUCAAGAAUUACGGCAGAGACUUGAGGACUUAGGAGCAAAGCUCCAACUGUGGAAGUGAUGCUCAAGAAUUUGACUAUUGAGGUUGAUUCCUAUGUUGUCAGCACUCAGCAGAGCUUUGCCAAACCUACCAAGCUCUGCAUUGAACAUUGUAGAAAUACUUCUUGGUGCCUGUGGGAUUAGUACUGCUACGAGAACAAAGCUCAUACUUCCAAAUUUUUCUUCAUUGUUACGAGAUAUAUAGGCUUCAUUGCACAGCGACUUGAUGCUCACUCACCUAGCAACAACUGAUUCAUGU